GGAUUGUAGCUCAGUGGUAGAGUGCUUGCCUAGCAUGUGUGAGGCACUGGGUUUGAUUCUCAGCACCA
rnacentral:tRNA from 1 species